rnacentral:rRNA from 1 species
UGGGGAAUAUUGCACAAUGGGCGCAAGCCUGAUGCAGCCAUGCCGCGUGUGUGAAGAAGGCCUUCGGGUUGUAAAGCACUUUCAGCGGGGAGGAAGGCGAUAAGGUUAAUAACCUUGGCGAUUGACGUUACCCGCAGAAGAAGCACCGGCUAACUCCGUG